CGGUAGUUUUGAACUGGCCCAUUGAGGGUGAAAGGCCCGUUAGGGUGGAGAAUCGGUCGGCCAGUGUCUCUCUGGAUAAACCUUGGAGUCGGGUUGUUUGUGAAUGCAGCCCAAAGUGGGUGGUAAACUCCAUCCAAGGCUAAAUACUAGCACGAGUCCGAUAGCGAACAAGUACCGUGAGGGAAAGUUGAAAAGUACUUUGAAGAGAGAGUAAACAGUGCGUGAAACCGCUCAGAGGUAAGCAGGUGGAGUUGAACUGCAAGCUCUGAGAAUUCAGCUGGUGAGAAUGGUUUGAGCUUGGUCAAAUUGGUUGGGUCCCGGGGUAUGCUCAGUUGCAUGUCCUUCCUUCGGGUUGGAUGCGCGAGGCACUUAUCAAGUGUUGCGCGCCUUGGGUGUCCUUCGAGCCGUCUUGCCAGUGCACUUUCUCAGAGUGGUCACCACGACCGGCGCUGUCGUCUGGCGGUUGUAGUCAAACCGGCCUUGCAGGGUCCUUGUGGCUUUGCUUGAUCGGGAUGGCAGGUAGCUCGUUCGCUUGCUUCGGCUUGCGUUCGGGUGUAAUCAGCUGACUGCAAUUGUUCUGUGCGAUGCAUCGGAGACCGCGGCUUGUGGUGUGUGCAUGCGUGCCUUAUCUGCUGCUGGAUUCUGGUCUGGUCGCUAUGUUGCUUGUUCAAGCAGGCCUAGUGAUGGCUGGAGUUCAUGUGGCGGGUGGUUGCGUGUGUGGCACUUUCCAAGGGCCAACAGUCUGUGGUGUAGUGGUAGACUUUCCACCUGACCCGUCUUGAAACACGGACCAAGGAGAGUAACAUGUGCGCGAGUCAUUGGGCGUAACGAAACCCACAGGCGAAGUGAAAGUGAAUGUCCGGCUUGUCUGGACUUAGGUGAGAUCCUGUCGUUUCUCACACGUGGUACCACCAAGUGUCGAACGGCAGGCGCAUCACCGGCCCGUCCCAUGACGUGGUCAUGGUCUGCGGACUGUGCAUCGUCG
rnacentral:rRNA from 1 species